GGAGAAAGGGGGCGAGCAGCCUAGAGAGAGGGAGAGAGAUACGCGGGAAGCAGGCGGUGCCGCGGGGAGACGCCGUCAUAUGGACCGGCCCGCCGCCGCCGGUUUUUUCCGCCGCACCAGCAAGGGCUACACGAUCCAGACAACUAGAGCUCCUGAGAAGUAGAGGCUGUUGUUGAUUCAGCGUGCACUUGAACACCCUCAACAGCGGAAUCUGAAAAGGUAGGCCCUAGGUAAAAGUGGAUUUGUCUGCUUUUUUUAUGGGAAAACUGGAUGUAUCUGAUACUCUUGUCAGUUGUCGCAUAAAUGCUGUGCAGGUCUGAAUACUUGGAGCAGACAUCUAGUUUUUGAGCAUUUACAGCCAAUUUGCUCUUUAGCAAACCUCAGACAAAUUCUAACAAGAAAAAAUCGUAUUCAGUGUGCCCUAACAAUUGUGAACCUCACUCCUUAGGAAUGAAGGGCACAUACUGUCGUCCUGUCUGUAUCCGUAAAUUAUGCCAUUUCCAGAUUCUUACUUGAUACUUCAUGGUACGACCACCUAACAAUCAAAGGGUUGGCUCUUGUUUUCUUUUAUUAACCAGCCUCGAAUGAAAUUUUAGAAUGUUCCCAAAAGGUGUACUUAAAUUAAGAGUGGUGAGUGGAUGCACUUAGAAUUCUCAGGCUUCAAAUUGCAUCCAAGAGGUCCGCAUCUUAGAUGCAAAAUAAUUAAGUUAAGAAAAUUGUUCACGGAAUUAUCCUGGAGACUAGUGGAGUCGACCUGGAGCCAACCUCGGCAAAACUUAAUUAUGUCCAUUGCAUCCCAAUGAUGCUUAUUUGAACCCAUAUAUGAUCCAUCAGAUCACUCUGACUUGCUUGCGUACGUCUUGAGUUCUUGGAACGCUUUCCGGCAACCUUCAUCAAAGCCACCCGCAAGCUGCAAAUUUGGUUUGUUGAAGUUACCUUGGUUAGUUAGUUUGUAGGUAGCAACUCAUAAUGCCAUCCGAAAGUAAUUCAUGAUUGUGGUAGAAUUACCUGAUGUAUUCGGAAGGCAAAGCGGACACCUUGCAGGAGCAGUUCCUCAUCAUUUACAAAUGGAUCGGACUUCAGUGCAUUCAUAAUGCGGUUCAUGUAUUCUUUUGCAAGCUUCAAUGAAGCGGCCUUUAGCUGUUAACAUAGCAAGAGGAUACUUCAUAUAUGAUAUGUCUAUUAGACACGAAUUUAUAGCUAAAAGGGUAGUGGGAUAAUUCCAAUGUGUACCACAUAACUCAUAAGUUGGUUUGGAGUUGAAGACGAGUUUGUAAAAUGCACUUAACUCUGUCUUCUCUAUUAUAUCAAACUGAUAAAAAAGAUGGAUAGUUUGGGAGUAGAUGGUACAUACUUGGCUUAUGAUUCCAGAAUCAAGCAUCCAAUCCCAUGGGAUCAUGAGAUCCUUGUAUCUUCCACUUGCACUAUCCCUUAUUUUUUCAGUAUUGUGAAUACCUUGUUCAAUUCUACAAGGGGAAGUAUGAAUCAUGUCAUAUUGUUGAAAGUUUGACAAUGUAACAGCCUUACUAAAUGCAUGCAGUUCGUCUACUCACUUAUCCUGUAGGGCUUGCAUGCGCUUCAAAGCCAUAGGUGUAGCCACUCUCCUGUCGUCGUGAAAUGAUGAUGCUUCUGCUUCCAGGUUCUUCAGAUCCCGGUAGGUGAAUGCUGCUUCUCUCAUGGCAUCUGCUUUCUUCUCAGGCCAGUUAGGGAAGUGCUUGAGCACUGCCCGUUCGUCUAUCAGGUAUGAUAGUUCCCCAUCUAGCCACUUAACAAACUCUUCAACAUCGGCUAUUUCCUUGUAUGCUGCAUUCUGAACUUCCCUUGCCAGGAAGCUAAUGAAUUCACCCUGAUUUUCUACAUCUGAUUUAAUCUGUUGGAACACAAUCAUAAGGGAAUGUUUUUGGAUUGGUGAGGAAAUUAAUGAUCUAUACAGAAUAAUAGGGAGAAAACAUGACUCAGAUGUACAUUAAAAGAUUAUUCGUACUAAAAGAAUAAAGAGUUAUAUAACAUUAUCAACUGCAGGAGGGAAACAGAAAAAUCAGAAGAACAUGUCGCAUGCUCUUAAACUAACGCAUGGCAUUGCUUUUUGAUGCAUAAGGAAAAGAUAUCAUAUAUUGUGGUGUAUUCGUAAGGUUUUAAAGAUGAGUGAAAAUUUUACACAAUAAAAAAUUACUAUUUAUGAAAUGGGAGAGAUGUUUAAAGAAUAGUCUAUCUGUUGAGAUAUUGUCUUUAAUACAGCAACGAACUGGUAACUGUCAUGCGGGAGGAAAUAUUGUGCAAUUGUCAUACUACUCAUACUCUUGUUGCUUAUGUUGGUUCAAAAAGAAAAGAAAAAUUAAACUAAGAAAGGAAUUGGCAGCUAAGUAAACAGUAUAUCAUAUGCACAUCUAAAAAUAGAUAGAAAAUCAUAUGUACUUACAGCUAUAACAUAAGCUGAUCUGUUCUCUAUCUCCCCGAUCAUGUCUCGGCUGUUAGUAGCUACUGGAAUUCCCACAGAUCCAGACUUCGCAUCGCUUUUGCCUUCUCUUCUUACUAACAACCGGUACAACUCAACUACCUCUGGCACCCUUUGGACUCCCUUGGUGCUCUUCAGUAAUCUGGAAGGUAGGGGAGGUGGCGGUGGAGGAGGAGGACCCAUGGAUCCUUCCUUUUUUGCCUUGAUGAUCGGUUGGAUGCACGUCGGACUUGGUGGUGGAUUUGGAACCCUUGGUGCUCUUGAUUUCACAGACGGUGUCCUAGAAAAUUGCUGCCUGCUGUAACAUGCCGAGCUGUUUAGAUCCAUAGCUUCCUUCACAUCAUCAUUGUUGUGAACAAACUGUUUUUCCUUGAAGUAGUUGUUGCUGGUGGCAGAAUUCUCCGGCUUCUUCCACAUUAUCUUUCUCUCAGUAUCCUGCCCUUCAAGUGAGGAGACUUGGCCUUUUAGACGGCUGACUUGAUGCCUCAGUUGCUUGUUCUCCUCUUCCAGAGUGUGGUUCCUCUCGAUCAGGCCAUGGAGCUUGCUUCUCAGAAGUGCAACACAUGCAUCACCCUCCCUCAUCAUCUCUUCUUCGCCAGAGGAGAUGAUCUCUCUGUAUGGUGGUACUGAUUACUCUCGUAUAAUCUAUAUAUGUCUCCUACUUCAUCACUCAUAUAAUUCUGUGGAGCACUAAAGGAGAUGUAAGUGAGCUUCUGUACAAUUCUGUUGAGUCUAGCCAAGAGGAACUUACAUAUGUGCAGGGAAGAACUGGUGGAACAUAAAGUUAGGUAGGAGGUGCUGCUGCUAGGCUAAUUACUUGUCCUUCAAGUGAUUGCUAUGGGGUACCUAUCUUCUUUGUGUAACUUCACUAAAGAAAUUCAGUCGUACAAGCUUACGUGUUUCUCUUUUCCUUUUGUGUACGACUAUUUUCCAAUUCUAUCAUACAUAAUUUACCGCCGUCUAUGUUCAGUUCACUUGGCUGGUAUAUUUUUUAGAUUUACCUUGAGCUGUCGGUGUGCUAUUUUACACCAACCAAGAGGUAAAGGUUUUUGAUCACUCUUCUUUCUCUAAAAAAUAUGUCAUUUUCCUUCAUGCUUGUUUUCUUCUGAUUGGGCUUUUUCCUUUUUGUGAAGUUGUGACAGCAAAGCCUGAAUACAAGCUUUCUUCUGCCUGAAGCUGUGUAAAAGGAACUCAGAUGGAACUCCUUUACCAGCCCUGGACACCUUUGGCUAAUAAGACCAAGUGAAUAUUUUGAAAAGUAGAGGGACAAGAAGAAACAAAAUAAAGCUGAGCAAAAGAAGGGGGGAAGCAGAUCUGAAUGUGUUUAUCUUUCAAAACACACAGAUUUCUGGUGAAGCCUUUCCUACCUGUAUCUGAACAGCAUUGGGCAUCUGUUUAUGCCACCAAAUAUAGGCGGUAGCAGAACCCCGAAAACGACAUAUCAGUAGGUUUAGAAAAAGGAGUCCCUACAAAGGAAGAUUCUGGCAAUGUUAUAAAGAAAAUGUAGAAAUAAACUGUUACAGGAUGACAGCAGAUUAAGCUGGCAUCAAAGGUUACUCUGUGUACUCUUGAGAUACAGGUACCAUUGUAAAGUCCCUGAUCCGAAGGGAAUUGCAGCCAUGUUUAAAGAGUUCAUUGAUUUCGCUGCGUCAGUUUCCAUGCUCGGAUUGGGUGUGAUUUGUGUAGAAUGCGAUCUCAGUACCUGGUUGGUGGAUGUACUACAUACAUAUAUGCAGUGCGGUGCAUCAACUGUGAAAGAUGCUUUGCAUGGACCCCUUGUGACUGCGUGUACCAUUACGCCUAACGAUGUACCAACAAUUGCACUCAUAAAUGGAAGGAGUGUCUGGGACUGAGUAGUGAUCAUUUUCAAUUA